GUAGGUGGCAAGCGUUGUCCGGAAUUAUUGGGCGUAAAGCGCACGCAGGCGGUCCUUUAAGUCUGAUGUGAAAGCCCACGGCUCAACCGUGGAGGGUCAUUGGAAACUGGGGGACUUGAGUACAGAAGAGGAAAGCGGAAUUCCAAGUGUAGCGGUGAAAUGCGUAGAGAUUUGGAGGAACACCAGUGGCGAAGGCGGCUUUCUGGUCUGUAACUGACGCUGAGGCGCGAAAGCGUGGGGAGCAAACAGGGAUUAGAUACCCUGGUAGUCCACGCCGUAAACGAUGAGUGCUAAGUGUUAGGGGGUUUCCCGCCCCUUAGUGCUGCAGCUAACGCAUUAAGCACUCCGCCUGGGGAGUACGGCCGCAAGGCUG
rnacentral:rRNA from 1 species